UGUCUUUUAUUGUGUGACCAAGGGAAAAAAAAACGCUAAAUGAAAUUUGGAACAAAAAUAAAUAAGUUAAUAUAGUUGGAAUAAUAUUAUUUAUCAUAAUGCAAACAAAAAGAAAAAUGGCUGUGUUGAAAUCCUUUGGAGUCUCCGGCUCUCCGCUUCGUCUUCCGGAAUUCUCUCGGCGAAUCUAAGUCUCCGCCAAUAUCGCCAUCGUCUUCGUGGUAUCUCUGGUUGCAUAGGAAGCAUCAGAUUCAGAUGUAGGUAGAAGAAUGAGCAAUAUUCCUAAUUUGUGGGUUUCAAGGUUAAAUCUAAGCAAGAAGCCAAAAAACCAUCUGUUUCAUAUCGUUAGUGCACAUAGAUUUACGAUGGAUGGCAGCUUAAUAGUGAUAGGUUAGCUUGGAAAGCAUUGUUAAUGUUGAGAAGGAAAUGGUGAGCCACUUUUUGAGUUGGAUAAAACACUGGAAACUCUUGAAAAUUUUGUUCGGCAUUAAUGUACAUAACUUUCAUUUUACAUUCUCCAAUAAUCCUCUUUUAACUCCUGUCAAUUUCAUCAUCGUCCAAUAAGCUAUUUUUUUUUUAAUGUAAUUCCUCACUUUUUUUUUGUAUUACGUUUCUUGCGCCUUGAAAGAAGCUUAGAUAUCGUGUUAAUCGCGAUGAAAAGUGUAUAUCGUGUAUUUAUUUUGAAGUACCACCGUAAAUAUCGUACUAUGUUCAAAAGUUGUGCGGAUCCUUUUUAGCUUUAAAGUUGCCGCUAUUUUUCAUCGUUUUUGCAUUUUGUGCAGAUGGUUUGUGUUUUACGUGUUUCGACUAGCGACUAAGUUAGAUUUCUCAAUUAAUAUGAUAUUGUCCGUUUUGGGUUCAACUAGUAAAAUCCUCAACUAGCAAAGUCCGCACGGAUUUGGAUUUGGUUUUUGGUUCCUUCCCAUAAAGCUCAACAAUCUCCCCCUCAAACCAAAAAACCCUAUAACUCUUGAUCUCUAACCUACAACGAUAUUUAGUAUUAUCUUGUACUUCUUAAUCGCAAAGUAAUAUUGAAGGUUUCUUUCCUACACCGAACAUUCAAUCCUAUUUCUCCAAAUCCACUUUUUCUUAGCUACCAGUACUGAGCCCGUACGGAUUUAGUAGUUUUAGAACAUUAUUUAUAGUAUAAUAUAAACAACUUUGGAUUGAUUCCCAACAGAUCGUUUGGUCUUUAGCGUUUAUAGACACGAUUUUAGCUAACACACCUAUACAAAUAUCUAUUACACGCAUCUAUGCAAAUUACAUUUCCUAUUAUCAACAUACGUUCCUAUUAUCAACAUGCGUUUUUACGCUAUCUAUAUCUAUGCAUAUAUCACUCGCUAUCUUAUAUACAUAUAUGCAUAUAUCCUCAAAUCCAUCUAAACACAUCCUAUUAUCAACAUGCCUAUAUGCCUAUACACCCUAUACAUACCAUCUAUGCCUAUACACCCUAUCUAUCCUCACACCCUAUACAUACAUAUAUGCAUAUAUGAAUCCCCACACCUUAUACAUACAUCUUUACACAUGCGUAUCUACGCUAUCUAUGCCUGUGCAUGUGUACUCUGAUACUCACACCCUAUAUACAUACACACACUCAUCUAUACAGCCUAUACAUACAUCUAUGCAUAUAUCACUCACACAUACAUACAUCUAUCCACGUGUUUAUGAUCUAUUUUAACAUCAUACACACAUAAUACAUCUCGUCAACGUCAUAGGGCUGGCAAGGAUGAAGGAGAAGAUGGAAACUCUGGAAUCUGGGCACAAUCUCAGCAUCUCUUCUAUCGCUGCAAAAUUGAUGAAAAUCAAUCUUGGUUACAAUCUUGGUACAUUCAUAUUACAUAUUCAUCCAAACAUCAAACAAAAAAGUUCAGACCAAACUCGUUCUUUCUAUUAUUUCAUAAAAAUUAAAGAAACCGUUCUAUUUUUCUUAGACAGAACAACUAAACGUACAUAGAUUGACUGACAUAGAGAGCGAAAAAGGAGGAACAUGUAAUAUAACUCGUAUUCCUAAGCUUUAAUUGGAAGGGCAUAUAUGGCUAAAUAUCAGUUUAUUAAAAGAAACACAUCAAUGAAAUCAAGACAGCAAGAUGUAACAAAAAAAAAAGAGUUUUUAAAACAGAGCUUCUGAAAUGUUUGUGUAACUCCAUAAAACAAAUGUUUAAAAGAUGACGAAAACGGGAAUAUAAAGCGACUACAAGAAUAUUAAAGCUGGAGACAAAAAUAUAUAGACAGCAACUCAGCAAGAUAUAACAAAAAAUAAAGAGUCUUUAAAACAGAUUAAAGAAACACACAUCAAUGAAAUGUUUUUAAAACAGAGUUUUUCAAAACAAAAAAAAAGAGUUUUUAACAACAAUAAAGAGUCUUUAAAACAGAUUAAAGAAACACAUCAAUGAAAUGUUUUUAAAACAGAGUUUUUAGCAACAAAAAAAAGAGUUUUUAAAACAGAGUUUCUGAAAUGUUUGUGCAACUCCAUAAAACAAAUGUUUAAAAGAUGACGAACACGAGAAUGUAAAGCGACUACAAGAAUAUGAAAGCUGGAGACAAAAAUAGACAGCAAGAUAUAAUAAAAAAAAGUCUUUAAAACAGAUUAAAGAAACACAUCAAUGAAAUCAAGACAUCAAGAUAUAACAAAAAAAAAAGAGUUUUAAAACAGAGCUUCUGAAAUGUUUGUGUAACUCCAUAAAACAAAUGUUUAAAAGAUGACGAACACGGGAAUUCAAAGCGACUACAAAAAUAUUAUAAAGCUGGAGAAACUACAGGAAUUAGACCAGAGUGAUACCUUGUAAAAAGAUGAGGUUAUGUUUGCUGCUCUCGCUUUAAUGAGAAACAGAGCAAGUUUGAGUGAGAACUUAAGUGGAGGAAAAGAACUAAGAGUGUAAAAAUAUACUGAGUGAACUGAGUGAAGAAAUGAGAAACAGAGAAAGUUUUAGUGAGAACUCAAGUGGAGGAAUAUAACUAAAAGAGAGUAAAAAUAAACUGAGUGAAUUGAGC
rnacentral:lncRNA from 1 species